UCGAGAAUCUUCGGCAAUGGGCGCAAGCCUGACCGAGCGACGCCGCGUGCGGGAUGAAGGCCCUUGGGUUGUAAACCGCUGUCAGAGGGGAUGAAAUCACAGCAGGCUAUCCUGCUGUGUUGACAGAGCCUCAGAGGAAGCACGGGCUAAGUUCGUGCCAGCAGCCGCGGUAAUACGAACUGUGCGAACGUUAUUCGGAAUCACUGGGCUUAAAGGGUGCGUAGGCGGCUUAUCAAGUCAGGUGUGAAAGGCCUCGGCUCAACCGAGGCACUGCGCUUGAAACUGAUUGGCUUGAGUGAGCUAGGGGUAUGCGGAACUUCCAGUGGAGCGGUGAAAUGUGUUGAGAUUGGAAGGAACACCGGUGGCGUAAGCGGCAUACUGGGGCUUAACUGACGCUGAGGCACGAAAGCCAGGGGAGCGAACGGGAUUAGAUACCCCCGUAGUCC
rnacentral:rRNA from 1 species